AAUAUUAUUUUUUUUCUUUCUUUGUCCCCUUUAAUUUGCAGACGAGGUUUUUUGACCGUUCGGUUUUUUGCCUCGUGUUUACUUAAUUUUUUCUGUUUUUUUUUUUACUUAAUAAAUUUCCCUUAAUUUAACUUAACCAUCAUAUUUUUUUUUUGCGUGUUCCAUCUUCAAUGGACUCGUUUUUUUUCCUUUCAAAAAUCAACUCCCCUAGUUUAUAAGGUACGGGCAACGGCCUUGUAUAAGGUCAUCCCUGAUUUAUAUGGUUAUGUGACAACUGUCACGAGGUUUUGGUGUACAUCUACUAUCAACGACUCAACGAACAUCAACGUUAAUAUUUAUUAAUUUUAUAAUUUUUUUUAAUUGUUUUAAUAUACAAAAGUUAAUUUUUUUUAAAUCCUACUGUGGUCCGACAAUACAGUGUCUCGUCCAGUGAGUUGGCGACCCUUUCUGUUCAAUGUGCCAUGGAAUUUUCAAAUUUUUCGUUAAGGCCAAUCAAUUCGAUUUUAUUAUAUUUGUAACCUUUCACAAUCUGAUUCAAAUUUUAAAGUUACAUUUUCUACUGUAAUUUUUUGUAAAAAUCACUGUUUAAUAUAAAAUAUUGUAAUACUGAAAACUGCCAUAACUUUUUGAAAAAUGUACAAAUUACAAUUUUUUUUUUAUAUUGAAUCUUUAGAUAUUCUUUUUUUUAUUUGAUAUACGUGUUCAUUAAAUUUGAUUCUAAACCUGUCCACAUGGGGGGAUUUAAAAAAGAAAUUUUUGCACACAAGUAAAACUUUUUUAAUUAAAUUUUUGAAUAUAUUGCGGAAUAUUGACACUUUUAUGUACAUCUUAAAUUAAAGCUAAUGUAAUUAACUUUAUUGCGGAAAAAAAAAUUUCGGACUUUAUAUUUUCUUCAGGAUGAAAAUCGCUACCGUAUGCUAUUUUUUCUAUUAUUAAUCCAUAACUUAGUUCUAGUAGAUUACAAAAAUUAUCUCAGUAAAAUGUAAUUAUAUGGUCAACGUCAAGUAAUUAGGAUUAAGAUGAGGAAAAGAAGAAGAGUCAAAUUUAAUUAUUUGUACAAAAAAUUUCUCUUUUGUAUGACAUUAUUGUAUUGCUUGAGAAUUCAAAACUUGCUUACUACUUUUGUAAAUUUUAUAUCGACAUUAUUCAGCUAUUUACUACACUCCACUAUGUUACAAAAAAAAAUAUGCCCUCAUAUUUUCGGAAAUAUAACUUUGGUAUGAAAUGAAUGGAAGGAAAAAGAAAAGUUAAUAUAUUUUGUAUCAGUUUCCUUUUAGAAGUGAUCACAUCAUUUUAAUACAUUUUUUUUAGCUUCGAUGUGAAGCUGAGGUAGUAUUUAUAUACAUCUUUCAUUCGACAUACUUUUUUUUUGAAUCGGACCAUUUCUCUAAAUACGGGAAAAAUGAAUAUAGAAAGUAGACCUUUUUCAACUUAAUUUUUAAAACUGUUCCGCAACUAUACAGUGAGUCUCAAUGCAUCAUUGUUAGAAAAUAUGACAGGUCAAAAUGAGCCGUCAGACUUGAAAAGGAAAAAUUAUGAGACAUCGGAGAUCAAAAUUAUUAAAAGAAGAAAAAUGUGUCACAGUCCUAUUCGUCAUGAUCAAAUGGUUGACAAUAUUGACACGGUUAUUCAUAACGGCCAUCAUUAUAAUGUACAACAGGUUUAUGAUGCCAAAACGAAUCCAUUCCUGCAACGAAUUAAAAGAGAGAUAUGUAUGGCGAGUGGGACUAUUAUAAUACAAAUUCCAUGAGAACAAAUCUCAGUCAUGUUAAUGAUUUCAAUAUUAUGUGUAUAUUAUUUUGUCUUAUUUUUCAUUUGUUAAUAAUUUCAUAUACAUUUUGUUUACGUUAUCAACUUUUUUUUUGGUAACUUUUCGUAUUAUUGCAAAUAUUCUUUUUAAUUGUAUUAAAAUUCAUUUACUCAAUAAAAACUUAUUUUUCUUUUGAA